rnacentral:rRNA from 1 species
UACGGAGAGUGCGAGCGUUGUUCGGAAUCACUGGGCGUAAAGGGCGUCUAGGCGGCUUGCCAAGUCAGAUGUGAAAUCCCUCGGCUCAACCGAGGACGUGCAUCUGAAACUGGUGAGCUUGAGUAUUGGAGGGGGCAGUGGAAUUCCCGGUGUAGAGGUGAAAUUCGUAGAUAUCGGGAGGAACACCAGUGGCGAAGGCGGCUGCCUGGCCAAAUACUGACGCUGAAGCGCGAAAGCGUGGGGAGCAAACAGGAUUAGAUACCCUCGUAGUCC